UUGACAGUUCUUUCUUGAAAACUUUUAUGCCAGUAUAGUACUUCUGGCCACCAUAAAUUCAGACCAAAAAUACACUGUCAUUUGAAUUUAUUUUUCUCUACAAUUAAUGCAUUUUUUUCUAUUUUCUAGAGUUUUUUCUUUGCCUUUAUUGUUCAGAAGUUUAAUUAUGGUAUGUAUUCAUGUAUAUGUCUUUUUAAAAAUGUUAUUUAGUUUUUCCUAAAGUUUUUGAAUCUGUAAGUUUGUGUCUUUUGCAAAUGUUUGAACGUGCUUUCUUUUCAUUCUGGAACUUUGAUGACAUGAAUGUUACCUCUUUUUGAAUUGUUCCACAAGUUCCUGAGAUCCUGACCCACCUCCCACCAAGUUUCCUUUUUUCUCAUUUUUUUUUUCCUCAGGCUUGGCAGAUUCAUUUGAUCUGACCUCAAGUUCAAUGAUUCUUUGAUGAUUUGUCAUAUCUCCUUUGCUCUUGAGCCUGUCCACCGAGGCUUUUUAUUGUGGUUAUUGUUUUUUAUUUCUAUCUUUUCCACUUGUUUUUAUUUUUAUACCUUCUAUUUAUUUGCUUACAUUUUCUUUGUUUUUCAUAUAUUUCAAGAAACACAUAAUUGCCUUUUGAAAUAUUUAUCUGAUAAUUUACUUAAAAUUUUUGUCAGAUAAUUCUAACAACUCAUUUCUUUUGAUAUUGGUGUAUGCUGCUUGUCUUGUUCCUUCAUUGCUGAUUUAGGGUAUGAUGAAUAAUGUUCAGUUGUAUUCUAGAUGUUAUGAGUAUUAUAUAGAUCUGGAUUCUUGUUAAUCUUACUAUUUUUUUAAAGCAAGGAGUUCCACUAUGUCGAGAUAUUCGGUAAAGGUUAGCUGGGAGUGAAUGUGCAGUCUUCCACUGGGCUCAACUGAUAAACACUGCAGCAAAAAAUGGGAUAUUAACUCACAUCAACUUAGUGCAAACAGAUUAUAAACCAUCAUUAAGAAGUAAUGACAAAGAAUCAACAACUGGGAUCUCAUCUUAUUAAAAAGUUUCUGCACUGCAAGAGAAACCACCAACAGAGCUAAGAGACAACCUACAAGGUCAUCCAAUCAACUGCUGUGAGAGUCAAAAAUAGAAGCUAAGUCUAAUGCUCAACAGUCGCUAAAGGAUCGGAGCCUGAUUACUUGCCUGGAGUAGACCUCAGCCUCUCCUGAGAUUUGCCUUAUCUGUAAGGAGAGAUCAUCCAGGGAGACUCAGUCAUUUCAAAGCUUAGUUUAACUUUAUGAAGAGGGGUAGAAAAAAGUUCAUAAACAUUUGGGAAAAUAUUUGGUAAUGAGGUCUAGUUAUAAAUUUCUGAU